CUAUCUCCUUAGUUAUUCUGGGCUGUGUUUCCUCUGCUGAAUCAUUUGCUCCAAAUUCUUCAGGUCGGGCAUUGUUUUCUUUAUCGGAGAAGACUGAGGCAAAGAAGGCAUUGAGGAGUUCAGCCCUUUCUGUGUCCCCUGUUUGCAUUUCACCAUCUUCUCCUCUGAGUGACCCCACUGUUUCUUUGUUCUUCCUUUUGCUACGGACAUACCCAUAAAAGCCUUUUUUGUUGCUUUUAACCUCUCUAGCAAGCCUGAGUUCAUUCUGUGCUUUAGCUUUUCUGACUUUGUGUCUACAGGUGCUGGCUAUUUGUUUGAAUUCCUGUUUGGUGGUUUCCCCCCCUUUUCCAUUUUUUGUACACAUCCUUUUUUAAUCUUAACUCAGUUAAAAGUUCUUUAGAUAGCCACCCUGGCUUCUUUAGGCACCUUCCAUGUUUCCGUCUCAUUGGUAUUGCCUGAAGUUGUGCUUUUACUAUCUCCCUCUUAACAAACUCCCAGCCAUCAUGAACUCCCUUUCCUUUUAGUAUUACUGUCCAUGGGAUCUCACCCAGCACUUCCCUAAGUUUUAUGAAGUCGGCUUUCUUAAAGUCAAGAAAUUGAGUCCUAGUAUGUUUGGCUGCUCCUUUCCGCUGUAUAGUAAACUUCAGAAGAGCAUGAUCACUCGCGCCUAAUGAUCCUCCCACUUCUACCCCACUAACCAGGUCAUCAACAUUGGUUAGGACCAGAUCUAAAAUGGCUGUUCCUCUUGUUGCUUCUCCCACUUUCUGGACAAGGAAGUUGUCUGCAAGGCCAGUGAGGAAUCUGUUUGACCUUAUGCUCUUGGCUGAGUUUGACAUCCAACAAAUAUCCGGGUAAUUGAAGUCCCCCAUUACUACUAUCUCCCUUCCUUUUGCAUGCUUGGCCAUCUGUUCCAGGAAGGCAUAAUCUAUGUCCUCCGUUUGGCUUGGGGAUCUAUAGUAAACUCCCACAAUAAGGUCUCUGUUAUUCUUCUCUCCCUUAAUUUUGACCCAAAUGCUCUCACUUUGGCUUUGAGGUUCUAAAUCUUGGAUCUCUUCACAGGUAUACACAUCCCUGACACAUAACGCCACUCCUCCUCCUUUCUUGUCUGGUCUGUUUCUCUGAAAUAGAUUGCAUCCCUCCAUUAUUACAUUCCAAUUGUGGGACUUAUCCCACCAGGUUUCAGUGAUGCCUAUUAUGUCAUAUUUAGUUUGCUGUACCAAGAGCUCAAGCUCAUCUUGUUUAUUUCCCAUGCUUUGUGCAUUAGUGUACAGACAUUGAAGUCCAUUAAUCAUUCCCCCGUGUCUCUUAUUUAAGGAUUUUUUCCUCCCACCACUAGGUCUGCGUGCUGUUUGCUCCAUUUGGUCUAUGACAUUUGGAUGAUCAUCUUCAUCAAUUGAUAGACUCCUACCUUCAGGAGCACUGUCUCCCUCCCCCACAUUAGUCAGUUUAAAGCCCUCCUGAUGAGGAAGGGGUAUUUGUCAGUGGGUUUUAUGAUUCCUUGCAGUCGUUCAGUUACAUCUUGGAUCUUAGCCCCGGGGAGACAGCACACCUCCCGAGACAUCUUGUCAGGCCCACAGAUCACUGCUUCUGUUCCCCUCAGUAGGGAAUCCCCUAUCACCACUACACGUCUCCUCUUAGGUUUGGUCGGGGUUCUUCCGUGAGCUGUCCGUUCCAAGGUCGCCUGCACAUUCCCUGAGGACUGACUUUGCUGUUCGUCUUCAUAUACCUGAUCGACUGUAACGAGGGAGAGAUCCUCAAAUGGAGUCUGCUCUUCGUCUUCCAUGCUAGGGGAGAGGACUUCAAAGUGAUUGUGUAUUUCUAAACAAUCAGAGCGAACCCUGGGCCUCCUACUUCUUUGAGUCACGUUUCUCCAUAUAUCUGGCACCUGUGUUGGUGAACUAGCCUCCUUCUCAGGGGUGUCCCCUGUCUCCUCCUUGGUGCAGACGGUGUUCUCUGUUGCUUCCAAGAAGAGCUCCAGCUCUCUAAUUCUUUGGAGCAUAGCUACACGUUCCUCCAGUUGCUGGACUUUGUCUUUUAAGAGGGCAAUCAACAUACAAUUGCUGCAGGUAAAGCUGCCUGCAACCUUUGGCAAAAUGGCAAACAUUGCGCAGGAACCGCAGGCGACUGCAGCUGUUCCCUCAUCCUCCAUCUUGAG